UACGUAGGGGGCAAGCGUUGUCCGGAAUCAUUGGGCGUAAAGCGCGUGUAGGCGGCCAGAAAAGUCCGCUGUGAAAACUCGAGGCUCAACUUCGAGCUGUCGGUGGAAACUUUCUGGCUAGAGUCCGGAAGAGGAGAAUGGAAUUCCUGGUGUAGCGGUGAAAUGCGCAGAUAUCAGGAAGAACACCCGUGGCGAAGGCGGUUCCCUGGGACGGUACUGACGCUGAGACGCGAAAGCGUGGGGAGCGAACAGG
rnacentral:rRNA from 1 species